rnacentral:rRNA from 1 species
CGGCGGACGGGUGAGUAACGCGUGGGUAACCUGCCCUGUACACACGGAUAACAUACCGAAAGGUAUGCUAAUACGAGAUAACAUACUUUUAUCGCAUGGUAGAAGUAUCAAAGCUUUUGCGGUACAGGAUGGACCCGCGUCUGAUUAGCUAGUUGGUAAGGUAACGGCUUACCAAGGCGACGAUCAGUAGCCGACCUGAGAGGGUGAUCGGCCACAUUGGAACUGAGACACGGUCCAAACUCCUACGGGAGGCAGCAUG